rnacentral:rRNA from 1 species
AUUGAACGCUGGCGGCAGGCCUAACACAUGCAAGUCGAGCGAGCGGCGGACGGGUGAGUAAUGCCUGGGAAUUGCCCAGUCGAGGGGUAUAACAGUUGGAAACGACUGCUAAUACCGCAUACGCUUGGUGUGCCCAUGUGGGAUUAGCUAGUUGGUGGGGUAAUGGCUCACCAUGGCGACGAUCCCUAGCUGGUCUGAGAGGAUGAACAGCCAAAGUGGAAAUGAGACACGGUCCAGACUCAUACGGGAGGCAGCAGUGGGGAAUAUUGCCCAAUGGGGGAAAUCCUGAUGCAGCCAUGCCGCGUGUGUGAAGAAGGAAUUAGGGUUGUAAAGCACUUUCAGCGAGGAGGCGUUACUCGCAGAAUAAGCACCGGCUAACUCCGUGCCAGCAGCCGCGGUAAUAC